UACGAAGGGGGGCUAGCGUUGCUCGGAAUCACUGGGCGUAAAGGGUGCGUAGGCGGGUUUUUAAGUCAGAGGUGAAAUCCUGGAGCUCAACUCCAGAACUGCCUUUGAUACUGGAGAGCUUGAGUCCGGAAGAGGUGAGUGGAACUCCGAGUGUAGAGGUGAAAUUCGUAGAUAUUCGGAAGAACACCAGUGGCGAAGGCGGCUCACUGGUCCGGUACUGACGCUGAUGUGCGAAAGCGUGGGGAGCAAACAGG
rnacentral:rRNA from 1 species